AUUGAACGCUGGCGGCAUGCCUUACACAUGCAAGUCGAACGGUAACGGGUCCUUCGGGAUGCCGACGAGUGGCGAACGGGUGAGUAAUAUAUCGGAACGUGCCCAGUAGUGGGGGAUAACUGCUCGAAAGAGCAGCUAAUACCGCAUACGACCUGAGGGUGAAAGGGGGGGAUCGCAAGACCUCUCGCUAUUGGAGCGGCCGAUAUCAGAUUAGCUAGUUGGUGGGUUAAAGGCCUACCAAGGCAACGAUCUGUAGUGGGUCUGAGAGGACGGCCAGCCACACUGGGACUGAGACACGGCCCAGACUCCUACGGGAGGCAGCAGUGGGGAAUUUUGGACAAUGGGCGAAAGCCUGAUCCAGCAAUGCCGCGUGCAGGAUGAAGGCCUUCGGGUUGUAAACUGCUUUUGUACGGAACGAAAAGCCCCGGGUUAAUACCCUGGGGUCAUGACGGUACCGUAAGAAUAAGCACCGGCUAACUACGUGCCAGCCGCCGCCGUAA
rnacentral:rRNA from 1 species